rnacentral:rRNA from 15 species
UGGAUCGUUCAAACCUUCAAGGCCCCUCCCCAUCCCAUCAGCACUGGGAAGAUAAGCCUGAAUGGGCUGAACUAGUAGUACGGUGGGGGACCACGUGCGAAUCCUCAGUGACGACCUGG